GGUGGUAGCUCAGUGGUAGAGUGCAUUCCUCACAUGCAUGAGGUCCUGGGUUCAAUCCCCACUACCUCCA
rnacentral:tRNA from 1 species